AACGAACGCUGGCGGCAUGCCUAACACAUGCAAGUCGAACGAACACUUCGGGUCCAGUGGCGCAUGGGUGCGUAACGCGUGGGAACCUGACCUUAUGGUCAGAAUAACUCUCCGACAGGGGUACUAUUAGCGGAUAAUAGCUACUGACCAAUAAUUUAUCGCCUUGGGAUGGGCCCUCGUUGGAUUCGCUUGUUGGUAUGGUAAAAGCCUCCCAAGGGGACGAUCCACAGAUGGUCUGAGAGGCUGAUCAGCGACACUGGGACUGGGACACGGCCCGGACUCUUCCGGGAGGCACGAGAGCGUAAUGUUGCACAGUGGGCGAAAGCAUGAUCCAGCUCUGCCGGGUGAGUGAUGAUGGCCUUAGGGUUGUAAAGCUCUAUUAACCGGGCUGAUAAUGACAGUACCGGGAGAAUAAGCCCCGGCUAACUCCGUG
rnacentral:rRNA from 1 species